GUCGCCGUAGCUCAAUCGGAAGAGCGCAUGAUAUCAAUGAGGUUGCGGGUUCGAGUCCCGCCGGCGACA
rnacentral:tRNA from 1 species